rnacentral:rRNA from 1 species
GACGAACGCUGGCGGCGUGCUUAACACAUGCAAGUCGAACGGGAAGGCCCUGCUUUUGUGGGGUGCUCGAGUGGCGAACGGGUGAGUAACACGUGAGUAACCUGCCCUUGACUUUGGGAUAACUUCAGGAAACUGGGGCUAAUACCGGAUAGGAGCUCCUGCUGCAUGGUGGGGGUUGGAAAGUUUCGGCGGUUGGGGAUGGACUCGCGGCUUAUCAGCUUGUUGGUGGGGUAGUGGCUUACCAAGGCUUUGACGGGUAGCCGGCCUGAGAGGGUGACCGGCCACAUUGGGACUGAGAUACGGCCCAGACUCCUACGGGAGGCAGCAGUGGGGAAUAUUGCACAAUGGGCGGAAGCCUGAUGCAGCAACGCCGCGUGCGGGAUGACGGCCUUCGGGUUGUAAACCGCUUUCGCCUGUGACGAAGCGUGAGUGACGGUAAUGGGUAAAGAAGCACCGGCUAACUACGU